rnacentral:rRNA from 1 species
GUCUCCGUUGGUGAACCAGCGGAGGGAUCAUUAAAGAGUUUUUACAACUCCAAACCCUGUGAACAUACCCUACGUUGCCUCGGCAGGUGCACCUACCCUGUAGGCCUUACCCUGUAAGAGCUACCCUGUGACACUUACCCUGUAGGUGUUACCCUGUAGCGCCUUACCUGGUGAGACCUACCCGGUAGAUGCGGUCAGCCUGCCGGUGGCCCCUAUAACUCUGUUUGGCAUUGUAUUUCUGAAUAUAGAAUUAAAUAAGUUAAAACUUUCAACAACGGAUCUCUUGGUUCUGGCAUCGAUGAAGAACGCAGCGAAAUGCGAUAAGUAAUGUGAAUUGCAGAAUUCAGUGAAUCAUCGAAUCUUUGAACGCACAUUGCGCCCAUUAGUAUUCUAGUGGGCAUGCCUGUUCGAGCGUCAUUUCAACCCUUAAGCCUCUGUUGCUUAGUGUUGGGGGCCUACUUCGCUGUAGCCCCUGAAAGUUAGUGGCGGAGGCCGGCUCAUGCUCCAGACGUAGUAAUGUAUUUUAUCUCGCCUGUAGCUGUGCCGGUCCCCUGCCGUAAAACACCCCUAUUUUUUAAAGGUUGACCUCGGAUCAGGUAGGAAUACCCGCUGAACUUAAGCAUAUCAAUAAGCGGAGGAGUCAUA